rnacentral:rRNA from 1 species
UAUUAGAAAUCAUUAAUAGUAUAAUUUGCUCAAUGAAUAUUAAAUAGCCGCUAUAGUGCUAAGGUAGUAUAAUAAUUUGUCUUUUAAUUAAAGACCAAAAACAAAUGAUACAACAUUUUAGAUUAUAUCUAAUAUUUAAAUAUUUAAAUUCUUUUAAAUGUUAAAAAACAUUUAUAAAAAAAAAAGACGAUAAGACCCUAUUAAACUUAACUUUAGUUUAACUGGGGAAGUUAAUUAAUUAUUAUUUUAAUUUAAAUAAAAACUAAUCAACCUUUUAAAAUUAAAUCUAAAUCAAGUUACUAUAGGGAUAACAGCGUUACAUUAUUUUUAAGUUCUUAUUUAAAAUAAUAAUUGCGACCUCGAUGUUGAAUUGAUUUUCUCAUUUAAUGCAAUAAUUAAUGAAGAAAGUCUGUUCGACUUAUAAAAAUC